rnacentral:rRNA from 1 species
CCUACGGGUGGCUGCAGUAGGGAAUCUUCCACAAUGGACGAAAGUCUGAUGGAGCAACGCCGCGUGAGUGAAGUAGGGUCUCGGCUCGUAAAGCUCCGUUGGUAGUGAAGAAAGAUAGAGGUAGUAACUGGCCUUUAUUUGACGGUAAUUACUUAGAAAGUCACGGCUAACUACUUCCCAGCAGACGCGGUAAUAUGUAGGUGGCAAGCGUUGUCCGGUUUUAUUGGGCGUAAAGCGAGUGCAGGCGGUUCAAUAAGUCUGAUGUGAAAGCCGUCGGCUCAACCGGAGAAUUGCAUCAGAAACUGUUGAACUUGAGUGCAGAAGAGGAGAGUGGAACUCCAGGUGUAGCGGUGGAAUGCGUAGAUAUAGGGAAGAACACCAGUGGCGAAGGCGGCUCUCUGGUCUGCAACUGACGCUGAGGCUCGAAGGCAAGGGUAGCGAAAAGGAUUAGAUACCCGUGUAGUC